rnacentral:rRNA from 1 species
AGCGAACGCUGGCGGCAGGCCUAACACAUGCAAGUCGAACGAACCUUUCGGGGUUAGUGGCGGACGGGUGAGUAACACGUGGGAACGUGCCUUUAGGUUCGGAAUAACUCAGGGAAACUUGUGCUAAUACCGAAUGUGCCCUUCGGGGGAAAGAUUUAUUGCCUUUAGAGCGGCCCGCGUCUGAUUAGCUAGUUGGUUGAGGUAAUGGCUCACCAAGGCGACGAUCAGUAGCUGGUCUGAGAGGAUGAUCAGCCACAUUGGGACUGAGACACGGCCCAAACUCCUACGGGAGGCAGCAGUGGGGAAUCUUGCGCAAUGGGCGAAGGCAUGACGCAGCCAUGCCGCGUGAAUGAUGAAGGUCGGAGGAUUGUAAAAUUCUUUCACCGGGGACGAUAAUGACGGUACCCGGAGAAGAAGCCCCGGCUAACUUCGUG